AGUGAGAGAGUGAAAAAGCAAGAGGAGGAAAGAGAGAGAAAGUCUCUGCCCAGAGAAGAGCUGGUGUGUCUGCAGUGUGUCGGCUCCCUGCUGCUGAGUCCAGAGAGGAGCAGCGGGCUGAGAAGAGCAGUGGACGCACUGUGAGGAGGAGGCAUUUCUAUUGGCCACCAGUAGAACAGCUACGUUGGGAUUGGGUGCUCCUGGGAUAUGGAUGCAGAUGGAGAAGAGAAGGGAGAGGUCCACCCACGGGAGGCACACACACCUCACUCACCUCAGCAGCCAGGUACGAUCCUGUGGCCAGG